rnacentral:rRNA from 2 species
GUAGGUGGCAAGCGUUGUCCGGAUUUAUUGGGCGUAAAGGGAACGCAGGCGGUCUUUUAAGUCUGAUGUGAAAGCCUUCGGCUUAACCGGAGUAGUGCAUUGGAAACUGGAAGACUUGAGUGCAGAAGAGGAGAGUGGAACUCCAUGUGUAGCGGUGAAAUGCGUAGAUAUAUGGAAGAACACCAGUGGCGAAAGCGGCUCUCUGGUCUGUAACUGACGCUGAGGUUCGAAAGCGUGGGUAGCAAACAGGAUUAGAUACCCUGGUAGUCCACGCCGUAAACGAUGAAUGCUAGGUGUUGGAGGGUUUCCGCCCUUCAGUGCCGCAGCUAACGCAAUAAGCAUUCCGCCUGGGGAGUACGACCGCAAGGUUG